rfam:Neolentinus lepideus HHB14362 ss-1 unplaced genomic scaffold NEOLEscaffold_145, whole genome shotgun sequence.
GCCCGCCUAGCUCAAUUGGCCAGAGCGUCAGACUUUUAAGGCCUGACAAGCGGGUUGUAUUGAAAUCUGAAGGCUGCGGGUUCGACCCCCGCGGUGGGCU